rnacentral:rRNA from 1 species
UACGUAGGGUGCGAGCGUUGUCCGGAAUUAUUGGGCGUAAAGAGCUUGUAGGCGGUUUGUCGCGUCUGCUGUGAAAAUCCGGGGCUCAACCCCGGACUUGCAGUGGGUACGGGCAGACUAGAGUGUGGUAGGGGAGACUGGAAUUCCUGGUGUAGCGGUGAAAUGCGCAGAUAUCAGGAGGAACACCGAUGGCGAAGGCAGGUCUCUGGGCCACUACUGACGCUGGAGAAGCGGAAAAGCAUGGGGGAGCGAACAGG